rnacentral:pre_miRNA from 1 species
UUAACUAAAAUUUGUAUGGAGCUAGAGCGUUUUGUACGUUUGCCGCUAGGGGCGCUGUUCCAAUUGCAUACAAACUUGACUUU